AGCGAACGCUGGCGGCGUGCUUAACACAUGCAAGUCGAACGCUCGUAGCAAUACGAGAGUGGCGGACGGGUGAGUAACGCGUGGGAAUCUACCUAGCGGCGGGGAAUAACCUCGGGAAACUGAGGCUAAUACCGCAUACGUCCUUCGGGAGAAAGGCUUCGGCCACCGCUUGAGGAGCCCGCGUCCGAUAGCUAGUUGGUGAGGUAACGGCUCACCAAGGCGACGAUCGGUAGCUGGUCUGAGAGGAUGAUCAGCCACACUGGGACUGAGACACGGCCCAGACUCCUACGGGAGGCAGCAGUGGGGAAUAUUGGACAAUGGGGGCAACCCUGAUCCAGCAAUGCCGCGUGAGUGAUGAAGGCCUUAGGGUUGUAAAGCUCUUUUGGCAGGGACGAUGAUGACGGUACCUGCAGAAUAAGCCCCGGCUAACUUCGUGCCAGCCGCCGCCGUAA
rnacentral:rRNA from 1 species